GGGCAUUCCGAAGACUUGCUCUCUGGGCUACAUACGGGGAACCUGGUUUCUCUCCUCCCGCCCAGGGGAAAGUCCCCGGACAGACGGCAGAAAGUGCCCUGGGUGAAUCCAGUGUCGGCCCGCGCCUCGUCCAAUGGCGGCUGAGAUGUUCGUGUGAACGGAGCCCGACGGUCGUAGGCCGGCUUUGUCAGCUUCUCUAGUAAUGCAAGUUCGCUGUUUCGGCGCUUAACCAGAACGGGGCUCAUUCUCGGAAUGCC
ensembl:misc_RNA RNase_MRP RNase MRP